GGCAGCUUGCUGGACUGUAACUGACGCUGAGGCANGAAAGCGUGGGGAUCAAACAGGAUUAGAUACCNUGGUAGNCCACGCCGUAAACGAUGANUGCUAGCUGUUAGCGAUAUACUGUUAGCGGCACAGAGAAAUCGUUAAGCAUUCCACCUGGGGAGUACGCCGGCAACGGUGAAACUCAAAGGAAUUGACGGGGGCCCGCACAAGCGGAGGAACAUGUGGUUUAAUUCGAUGAUACGCGAGGAACCUUACCUGGGCUUAAAUUGCAGUGGAAUAACGUGGAAACAUGUUAGCCUUCGGGCCGCUGUGAAGGUGCUGCAUGGUUGUCGUCAGCUCGUGCCGUGAGGUGUCGGCUUAAGUGCCAUAACGAGCGCAACCCUCAUCGAUAGUUACUAACAGGUUAAGCUGAGGACUCUAUCGAGACUGCCGACGUAAGUCGUGAGGAAGGUGGGGAUGACGUCAAAUCAGCACGGCCCUUACGUCCAGGGCUACACACGUGUUACAAUGGGGGGUACAAAGGGCAGCUACCUGGCGACAGGAUGCUAAUCUCAAAAACCUCUCUCAGUUCGGAUUGGAGUCUGCAACCCGACUCCAUGAAGCUGGAUUCGCUAGUAAUCGCGCAUCAGCCACGGCGCGGUGAAUACGUUCCCGGGCCUUGUACACACCGCCCGUCAAGCCAUGGGAGCCGGGGGGACCUGAAGUAUGCAACCGUAAGGAGCGUCCUAGGGUAAAACUGGUGACUGGGGCU
rnacentral:rRNA from 1 species